rnacentral:tRNA from 1 species
GCCUGGGUGGCUCAGUUGGUUAAGCGUCUGACUUCGUUCGGCUCAGGUCAUGAUCUCAGUGUUUGUGGGUUUGAGCCCCGCAUCGGGCU